UACGUAUGGUGCAAGCGUUAUCCGGGUUUACUGGGUGUAAAGGGCGUGUAGGCGGGAAUGCAAGUCAGAUGUGAAAACUAUGGGCUCAACCCAUAGCCUGCAUUUGAAACUGUAUUUCUUGAGUGUUGGAGAGGCAAUCGGAAUUCCGUGUGUAGCGGUGAAAUGCGUAGAUAUACGGAGGAACACCAGUGGCGAAGGCGGAUUGCUGGACAGUAACUGACGCUGAGGCGCGAAAGCGUGGGGAGCAAACAGG
rnacentral:rRNA from 1 species